rnacentral:lncRNA from 1 species
CAGAUAAGGGCAGUGAUUCUGAAGAAGAAGAAACCAAUAGAGAUUCCCAAAGUGAGAAAGAUGAUGGUAGUGACAGAGACUCUGAUAGAGAGCAAGAUGAAAAACAAAACAAAGAUGAUGAAGCAGAGUGGCAAGAAUUACAACAAAGCAUACAGCGAAAAGAGAGAGCUCUAUUGGAAACCAAAUCAAAAAUAACACAUCCUGUGUAUAGCCUUUACUUUCCUGAGGUGAGUUAUAUACAGGCUACUGUGUUCCUUAUUCCAUUCACUUUCUCCUCAGGGAUUUGUCAGUUGACUUUUAGCCCUCUGUCGUGUGUAUUAGUUCAUAUGUGCUAAAUGUGGUCUAUCCUGAGAGGCCAUAUUUUUAAAAGGGAAUAUUACAAUAGGUAUUAUACUUAGUGAACGUGUUGCUUAUAA